AUUGAACGCUGGCGGCAGGCCUAACACAUGCAAGUCGAGCGGAUGAAGAGAGCUUGCUCUCUGAAUCAGCGGCGGACGGGUGAGUAAUGCCUAGGAAUCUGCCUGGUAGUGGGGGACAACGUUUCGAAAGGAACGCUAAUACCGCAUACGUCCUACGGGAGAAAGUGGGGGAUCUUCGGACCUCACGCUAUCAGAUGAGCCUAGGUACGAUUAGCUAGUUGGUGAGGUAAAGGCUCACCAAGGCGACGAUCGUUAACUGGUCUGAGAGGAUGAUCAGUCACACUGGAACUGAGACACGGUCCAGACUCCUACGGGAGGCAGCAGUGGGGAAUAUUGGACAAUGGGCGAAAGCCUGAUCCAGCCAUGCCGCGUGUGUGAAGAAGGUCUUGGGAUUGUAAAGCACUUUAAGUUGGGAGGAAGGGCAGUAAGUUAAUACCUUGCUGUUUUGACGUUACCGACAGAAUAAGCACCGGCUAACUUCGUGCCAGCCGCCGCCGUAACAC
rnacentral:rRNA from 1 species